CCCUUUCUCUUGCCCAAGUGUGUUGGUCGCUUGCUUCAACUUGGGAAUGGAGUGAUAUUGGAAGUUCAUGUAUGUUGGAGAGUCAGUGUCUUGUGAAGUGUAAGAGCAUAAAUUAUGAUUGGUGUGAGCUUUGUAAUCUCUAGAACAUGUAUAGAAAUAAAAGUUUAAUCAUGGGUUGGUCGCUCUGGCCUUUUGUGCCGAGCUGUGCAGGGGAAGACUGCGUGUAUUUUCUUUGCUGGAUUCUCCAUUCCUACAAAUGCCCUUUUCCUUGUAGCCAUCGGUGUGAGUGCUCUGUAAAGCAGCUCUCUUUAUUGGCCCCCCAGGGUUUCAGACUCAGACCAUGUGUUGGCUGCGUGAAUUGUGGCACGUGCAUGGGGCCCAAAUUCCAAUGAAGAAAAAGUCACUAAUGAGAGUCAUGAGUUGCACUAAGAUCUUUGAUUAUUUUUAUGCUUUGGAUGGACAGUUCAGAAAUCAGAAUGACUGCUACUUCGCUUGCUUCUCAAGGCUGCUUGGGCCGGAGCUUGUUCAACACGAUUCAUGAGCGACAAUCCACAGAUCUCAGGCAGUUUCUACAUGCACCCUUUGUACAGAACAAAGGGAAACUUUACAGUAUCAGCUUGGGGGUACUGAUUUGAUUGGGUUGGCAAUGGAUGCUUGCUUGUAGCUUUCUUUGCACGCAUUUUAAUGUGUCUUUAAUGCACUGUUGGAUCGACACUGUGACCAUUUUCCCCUCUUCUCUUCUCGUUCGAGAGACAGCCGACCGA
rnacentral:lncRNA from 1 species